rnacentral:lncRNA from 1 species
ACCUGCAAAUAACACUAAGAAGUAGAACAAGGAUCAAAGAAUAAUGUCAUCUGAGGUAGAAAAAAAAACAAGCUCAGGGAUAUGUGUGAGGGGGUAGAUCCUACAGUGGUUUCUUUCAGGAUCCUGAAUGUCCCAGGGUCUGCUGGGAUAGAGUAUGCAGAGAGACAGAGUUCUGGUCACCUAUGAAGGUAUAACAUUUGGAGGAGCAGCUGCUGUGGAGAUAGAGGAAAUAACCAGAUGUUUAAAGUAACAAGGAAGGGUUCACUUCAUUCUAACCAAAGCAUGGCAAAGCUUAUGUCAUUUUAGAAGUAUGAUUGCCCAGGAGGGGUGGCUUUUUGAGCUUUUGCUACUCUGUGAAGUAACUAUGGAGAUACCUCGUGAUUUCAAGAAUCUACUUUCACCAAUGACAAUGGGGACACAGAUUUGUUUGUUUUCUUCAGUUUAUUCCUUCUAUGAUUCCUCCCAUUCAUAAUGGGAGGAAUAAAAUAUAACCUUGGUGGCCCACAUAUUCAUCUGAGUAAUAUUGACCUUGUGUCUAGCCUUUGUGAAUUGCAUCAUCCCUGUUGUGCUUGUUACCAUCACAAUUCCCAUUGUGUUGGACAGCUUUGGGAUUGGUUGGUCUUUGUUGUCAUGGUUAUAUUUGAGAUCCUGAGCUGGGCAGUUUUCAGCCUGACACAUUGUCAUAUUGAAGAAUAUUGCAUUCAGGCUUCAGAAACCCCCUUUUAAAUAACUUAGUGUUUAGAUGUAGAAACAACAACUCUUCUAAGAAGCUAAAUAAAAGGGAUGAAGAAAUAAAGUAUGCUGAACCAAUGGAUCUGGCCAAUUUGUUUGACACCAUUUCUUCUAUGGUUAUGGCCUGCUAUGCCUUUGGAUACAUGGAUGUGUUCUAUUGGGGGGCUUUAUGGGUCGUAACUACCUCCGUUGGCCAGCUCCUCUUCUCUUAUCAUCACUAUUUGAACAAUGAUGCUUAUCGUACCACCAAAUUUGGCUUCCAUAGUCUCUUUUGGCAGAAACAAGCUUGGGAACAAUUCAUGAUAACAGUAAUCAUCAGGUCAAAAAAUGUGGAUGAGACCAGGGAAGGAAUUAUUGGGGAUUUCUUUUGCUGUAUUAUUGCCAGUAUUUUGGUCCUGACGUCCCUCAGUAUAAGCCUCUUAGAAUUGAUUCAGAAUGUUUUCUUUGCUCUUCUUACUAUCCACACCAUUCAUCAAUUAUCUACUAAGGAAGAUGAAAAAAAUAACUUUUGCUUUGGGAGUAUCUGUUUCCUUUAUGCUCUUAUUUCCCUGUAUGCUACUUGUGCUAGUGUAGUGAAUUCAGAAGAGAAAAAAAAAAUGAUGCCCACUGGGGCCUACGUCAUUUCAAAAUACAAAUUUCUGGAGAUCCUUUGUCCUUUUAAAAACCUCAUUCAGCUUAUUCGAUCAAAUGGAUUCCCAGAAAUCAACAGCUCCCUUAUUUUGAAUACCUUAUUGUAUGUCUGCAAUGGCCUGACUGCCCUCUCAGCUAUCCAGGGCACGUUGAUUAAUUCCUCUAACCAUUCUGGCAGAAUCCCUUCUGUCAUGACUCCAGGAGCCGUGUUUCAGAUAUAUGUGUGCAAUACCCAGGCCCAAAAAGGGGGAAGGUUUUCAACACUCCUGCCAUUCUGUUAUGCUGCUACCUGGGCAACCUGGACUUGGCUUCAAUUUUCAAGGUCUUUCAAUGAUUCUGAAAGCACUAAGGGCAUCUCACUAGGGACUUUGAUCUUCCUGAUAAUCAAUGUCUUCUUCCUCAUAUUAGAUUCUGAUGUAAAUAUAAUCCUGGUGCUAUUGACUCUUUGCAUGGAAAUACUGAGUAUCAGUUUCUUUUUGAUUACUUGUGAACGGUUGCCUCUUCCAUUGGAGGUCACUAUGUUGGCUAUUCUUUGUGCUGUUUCCAUCUAUAUGACUGUAGCUUCUUUCACCAUAAAUUCAACUGGCCUAAGUCUUCCUUUCCUGAAUAUUCUGUGCCCAAUGUAA